UACGUAGGGGGCCAGCGUUGUCCGGAAUCAUUGGGCGUAAAGCGCGCGUAGGCGGUCAGGUAAGUCCGGUGUGAAAGUCAAAGGCUCAACCUUUGAAUGCCGCUGGAUACUGCUUGACUUGAGUCCGGAAGGGGCGAGUGGAAUUCCUGGUGUAGCGGUGAAAUGCGCAGAUAUCAGGAGGAACACCGGUGGCGAAGGCGGCCUUCUGGACAGUGACUGACGCUGAGACGCGAAAGCGUGGGGAGCAAACAGG
rnacentral:rRNA from 1 species